rnacentral:misc_RNA from 1 species
GAGUCCCCACCCAGACAUGGCUGAUUGAAAAUUGUAUCACAAAGAAUGAGAACAUUUUAAAAGAUCUAAAACACCAAAAAGAAAAUAAGUAUGAAGUAAUAGUAUGGUUCAAAUGCAAGGCAAAGAGUCAUACUGCAUCACGCUGAUUAAACAAUUCAAAUUUGGGUUAGAUGUAUUGUUUUGCUAAAACAAGGUAUGGUCAAAUAUCAAAAUUUUGCAGUAAAUAUCAAAAUUUUGCAGUGAAUAUCAGAGUUUUAUUUUAUGAACUUUCUGCAGCAAGGGAUAGCAUGGGAGAUCUUACUACAAUGAACGAGAAUACUUCAUGCCUGGGAAAGAUUUGUUAUAGGGCACUUAGCAUCAAGAUUAGAAAUUGUUUCACAGUGAAAGAAAUCAUUUAAAUCAUGUAAAGGGACUAAAGGAUUCAUCUUGGAACUGAGGCUGCGUAUACAACAUUUUGAUUUUGCUAUCACGUAGAGAUGGAACUCAAAAAAAUUCCAAGAAAGCAUCUAUUACCUAAAUUUUUACAAAUGUCAUCUUAAACUAUUACCUGAAGAAG